rnacentral:rRNA from 1 species
GCUCACUGAAUUUUAUUUAAAGAGCCGCAGUAUCCUGACUGUGCGAAGGUAGCAUAAUAGGUUGUCCUUUAAUUGAGGGCUUGAAUGAACGGUUGGACAAAGUAUCAGCUGUUUCUUAAAUACUAAUUGAAUUUUACUUUUAAGUGAAAAGGCUUAAAUUUUCCAAAAAGACGAUAAGACCCUAUAAAUCUUUACAAAAGUUUUGCUUUAAGUCCUAAGUUGAGUGUAGUUUGGUAAUAAAGUAAGAUUGUGUUUUGCUGGGGCGGCGUAGAUAUAUUUUCAAACUGUUUAUAUUUUAUAAUCAAUUAAUUAUUGUACAUUACGAUCCUUUUAGAGAUUAAAAGAUUAAGAUACUUUAGGGAUAACAGCGUUAUUUUUUCUGAGAGUUCAUAUCGAAGAGAAAGUUUGCGACCUCGAUGUUGAAUUAAGGUUUCUUGGAGGUGCAG